AUUGAACGCUGGCGGCAGGCUUAACACAUGCAAGUCGAACGAGUGGCGGACGGGUGAGUAAUGCUUGGGAAUCUAGCUUAUGGAGGGGGAUAACUACGGGAAACUGUAGCUAAUACCGCGUACCAUAGGAUGAGCCCAAGUGGGAUUAGGUAGUUGGUGAGGUAAAGGCUCACCAAGCCGACGAUCUCGAGCUGGUCUGAGAGGAUGACCCGCCACGCGGAGACUGAGACACGGCCCAGAAGCCUACGAGAGGCAGCAGUAGGGAAUAUUGCGCAAUGGGGGCAACCUGACGCAGCCAUGCCGCGUGAAUGAAGAAGGAGUUCGGGUUGUAAAGUUCUAUCAGUGGCGAGGCGUUAGCUACAGAAGAAGCACCGGCUAACUCCGUGCCGAGCACCGCGGUAAUAC
rnacentral:rRNA from 1 species